UACGGAGGGGGCUAGCGUUGUCCGAAGUUACUGGGCGUAAAGCGCGCGUAGGCGGGUUGGUAAGUCCGCUGUGAAAGCCCGGAGCUCAACUCCGGAGGGUCGGUGGAUACUGCCAGUCUUGAAGGUGCUAGGGGGAGAUGGAAUUACCAGUGUAGCGGUGAAAUGCGUAGAUAUCGGUAGGAACACCAGUGGCGAAGGCGGUCUCCUGGGGGCAUUCUUGACGCUGAGGCGCGGAAAGCUGGGGGGAGCGAACGGG
rnacentral:rRNA from 1 species